CCCUUAGAUGUUCUGGGCUGCACGCGCGCUACACUGAUGCGUUCAACGAGUUUAUGACCUUGCCCGAUAGGGUUGGGUAAUCUUUUUAAAUCGCAUCGUGAUGGGGAUAGAUUAUUGCAAUUAUUAAUCUUCAACGAGGAAUUCCUAGUAAGCGCGAGUCAUCAGCUCGUGCUGAUUACGUCCCUGCCCUUUGUACACACCGCCCGUCGCACCUACCGAUUGAAUGGUCCGGUGAAAUCUCCGGACUGGCGUGAGUCGGAGCAAUCUGACAAACGCCGGAAAGUUGAUUAAACCUUACCAUUUAGAGGAAGGUGAAGUCGUAACA
rnacentral:rRNA from 1 species